GGAAACACCCAUACACUCACAUUUACACUCGUUCUCAUACACGGUUACUCACUGAAGUUAAGCGGGGCUGAUGCUGGUCAUUAUCUAGAUGUGAGACCAAAUGGGAAAAAUUAGGUUGCUGUUG
rnacentral:rRNA from 1 species